ensembl:lncRNA novel transcript
UGGCUUUCUAACUUUGAAUGAAAAACUCAGAGCUGAUAGGAAGGCUGACUGUCCCCAGAUGCGUGGUUAAUGAGGUGCUUCUAACAGAGCGACAUGUUCAGUUUACUGGAAGGAUAAGAAUCUCACAUAAAGAACAGGGCAUCCUGUUCAUACAACAACAGUAUACCUUCAACAAGGGAAACGAUUCUUCAUGUUACCCCACACGACAAGUCUGCAGGAUCCCAGAGGCCAAGCCUACUGUGUAACAGCUGACAAUGCCAUCAAUUUCUGUGGUGUUUAUGGCAUGUUCCAGCACAUCACACAUAAGGUAUCAUGUGACUAGCUGAAUGUGAUUUUAAGAGAGUGAUCUCCAAACUUUUCAUUUGCCUUAAGGAUGACGCCUCUGUGCGAAAACACUUUAAA